rnacentral:lncRNA from 1 species
AUAUUACAUAAAUAUUUUUUGUAUGUGUAUUCUAAAUUUUAAAAAACCAGUUUGAGUGUGCAAAGAUGGUAAUAAUUUAAUACAUUUAAUUUCCAAGACAUUUAACUAGAUUCUCAAUCACCUCUUUCAAAAGCAUGUUUUUUUUCCAUAGGAAAAAGAAGUCAAAGUAAGCUCUCAAAAUUAUCCUCAAAGUAAGGGGUGAGCUUGUGAUGAAGGUUGGAGUUGUAGACAGCAGUGUGCAGAACGGAGGCUGACAUGGGUGUUGGGCAUUUCAAGCCUCUUUGUUGAAUUAGUCCUUUUUGUCUUCUUGCUUGUUGAAAGCAUGCUUUUUGCUGUUGAUUUAACAAAGGCAGAUUGUGUGUUAAGAUUAUAUAUAGAUGUAUUCUUUAUGUUGGAUAUUGUACUAGAGUCCUCCUCACAGGAAAUAGUUCUAGAACUCUUAGCAUUAGCAUUCCUAGAUUGGUGUCUGUAGCUACCAGUUU